UCUCCGAUGGUGAACCAGCGGAGGGAUCAUUACAGAGUUGCAAAACUCCCAAACCAUUGUGAACGUUACCUAUCCCGUUGCUUCGGCGGGCGGCCCGGGCCCCGCGCCCGGCGCCCCCCGGCCCCCCGUGGGCGCCCGCCGGAGGUAAACCAAACCCUUGAAUUGCAUGGCCUCUCUGAGUCUUCUGUACUGAAUAAGUCAAAACUUUCAACAACGGAUCUCUUGGUUCUG
rnacentral:misc_RNA from 1 species